GACGAACGCUGGCGGCGUGCUUAACACAUGCAAGUCGAACGGAAAGGCCCUGCUUUUGUGGGGUGCUCGAGUGGCGAACGGGUGAGUAACACGUGAGUAACCUGCCCUUGACUUUGGGAUAACUUUAGAAAACUGGGGCUAAUACCGGAUAGGAGCUCCUGCUGCAUGGUGGGGGUUGGAAAGUUUCGGCGGUUGGGGAUGGACUCGCGGCUUAUCAGCUUGUUGGUGGGGUAGUGGCUUACCAAGGCUUUGACGGGUAGCCGGCCUGAGAGGGUGACCGGCCACAUUGGGACUGAGAUACGGCCCAGACUCCUACGGGAGGCAGCAGUGGGGAAUAUUGCACAAUGGGCGGAAGCCUGAUGCAGCAACGCCGCGUGCGGGAUGACGGCCUUCGGGUUGUAAACCGCUUUCGCCUGUGACGAAGCGUGAGUGACGGUAAUGGGUAAAGAAGCACCGGCUAACUACG
rnacentral:rRNA from 1 species